AGGGAAGGAGACAUUGAAAGGGAAAAGCAAGCAGAGAAUAUACUGAAGAAGAAGAAAAUGAGUUAAUCUUUAAUUCUAUAUCAGGAAUGGCCUGACUGAGCCAAGGAGGUGGAGUGGAGACCUCACAAGACAUGAUGCCAGUACCUUGCUCCCUCUGAUGUGCAUGGACCACCACAGUGUGGGAUUUCAUGACUGUUGGCUGUCCAUCAUGCUCAACAAGGCAUGUCAACAGAAGGUUCAAGGGAUAAAAGUUCUUCACUUGACAGCUGUUUCCUGGGCUGCUUCUGCUCUACCCAGGCUUGGGUCCCUGUCCUGCAGCUGAUGCUCCAA